ensembl:lncRNA
UUUUUUCUUCACAUUCUGUCUCUCACAGUUGACGUGUACCUCUGGUGCAAAUUACUGACCUCUGUCAUCAUUUUGAGGGGGGAACUUGCACAAUCGGUGGCUGACUAAAUACUUUUUUGCCCCACUGUAUGUCUUGUUCUACCGAGAUGAUCUCCCACAUAGAAAAUUCCAGGAUUUUAAGGAUCAAGUGAAACUGAGAAAUCCACAGAUGAAAAAUAUGAGUGUUGUAUUAUCGUGGAAGACACAGGAGACAGAAGGUCUGACAGAAAGAUUCGGAGAUGGAGGGAAGAAGGAAGAGGCUGGAUACAAUGUCGGACAGAAUGGACUGCUGAUAUCUCUGGGAUUUUCUGCAGUUGGAUUAAUUGUUCUUGUUAUUACUCUUCUGAUGCCUAAAAAACAGGAACAUCAUCCCAGCUUAUCCUAGUGAAGAAGAUGACAACCAGGUUGUCUUGAAGUAAUCACCUGGUAAGCAGCAAUGAAUUCUGCUUGGGUGAACUGGGACAAUUAUUCAGGUCAGUUCAACAUCCCAAGCCUGUGUGUUCUUGUCCUUCCUGCUGCUUAGGACUGUCACGAUAUUCAACAUAUCACAAUGAAGAGAAUUCACUGCAAAUUAAUUAGCAAGAGGCCAAUGAGAGAGUUGUGCUUGUGGACAGUCUUUAAACUGCUAAUAAACUCAGAUUGAAUGAUCCAAAUCAUCCUCAGAUUACAAAGGUUCCGGUGCUCCUGGUGACCAGUCCUGUUUCUAUAUAAUAUAAAAACCAGUAGUUUGGUCUGGUCAACAUGUUUGCACCAAUCACGUGAACCCCGCUCUAGAUCCUGUUCUGUUCUGUACUCAUUACCUAUCUGACACCUCACACCUGUUUCUUAUCUGCAGGUCAACCAGGAGCACUUAGAGAUGAUUCAAAGAAACAGGAAGAAGCUGGACUCAGUGUUUUAUCUGUUGGUUUCCCAAUUCUCCAUAUAUAUGGCGUCGGGUUGCAAAUUGUGAAGCCAACAUGAUAACCGUAUCCAGCCAGUGAUGUGGAGAUACACGUUUUAGAUCCACUUAAAAUCAAAUCACUCAAAAAGAUCCUCUGGAAAAGAGUAGAAUUCUUGAAACAGAGUUUAUUAAACAGAGUCAUAUAAACAGCCAAACAGUUCAUCACAAUACACAGAACAGCAACACAGCAUGUAGCACAGUAGGCAAACCAAAUCCUGUGGGGUGACGUGAGGAGGGCUGUGCACAAGAGACGUCCUCGGAAUCUAAUGUAUUUGGAGUGCUUUUGCAAGGAAGUGUGGACAAAUAUGGCAAACGUAAGAUGUGCCAUGAAAUACUGUGAUUAACUAAAACAUAUUUGUUUCUUUUUCAUCUUUGUUACCAAGGUCUGCACCAAUAAAGUGACCCUAUCUCUCAACUGCCACCUUAAUGUGGUGGAGGGAUUUGUGAACUCAGAUGUUGCUGGGAGCUGAGCUAUCUGGAGGCUUCAGCUCCUGGUAGGUUCUCCUGAGACAAACUGGUCUCAGGUGGUGAACUAGACUAAGAGCAGUUCACAUGAACUGUAUUUACUAUUCACACACUGCUAAACACACUGCUGCUAUUCUUUUGCUCUUGAAUGAAUUGAAAAACAUGCUUCAGGAAAUAAUUGUUUUGAUAAUAGUUCAUCUUUGAUUUAGUAAAAAGAUUAAAGUGAAAAGUGUUU